AAAAUAGCAUUUAAUGUUUUAUCAAAAGAGAUAAAUAUACACUUAUACCCCAAUGGUAAAUUAAUUUAGACAUUAAGAUUUAGAGUUAAGGGGUGGAGUUUAGGAUUUAGGGUUUAGGGUUUAGGGUUUAGGAUUUAGGGUUUAGAGUUUAGGGUUUAGAGUUUAGGGGUGGGGUUUUGGGUUUAGAGUUUAGGGUUUAGAGUUUAGGGGUGGGGUAGGGUUUAGAGUUAAGAAGUGGGGUUUAGGAUUUAGGGUUUACGGUUUAGGGUUUAGGAUUUAGGGUUUAGGGUUUAAAGUUUAGGGGUGGGAUUUAUGAUUUAUGGUUUAGAGUUAAGGGGUGGGGUUUAGGAUUUAGGGUUUAGGGUUUAGGAUUUAGGGUUUAGGGUUUAGUGUUUAGGUUUUAGGGUUUAGAGUUGGGAAGUGGGGUUUUGGGAUAAAAUUUCAAAUUUUGAAAAAUAAAAAUUAAAUUAAAUUUUUCAAAAGAUAAAAUGCUAUUUUGGUCAUUUUAGUUUUUGAGGACUAUUUUGUGAUAUAAACUUAGAAAUGUGCUAUUUUGGAGAUUUGCCCUUUAUUUUAUUUAAAUAUUAAUAACUAAUAUUAUAUUUUCAUUACGUUUUUCUUAAAAAUAAUUUCCUAUUGCUGCAAAUCAUAUAUUCAUUUUUGCAAUAUUUAAAUCACUAAUUUUAAAAUAAAAUAUGUAAGAAAAAAAACUAAAAUUAAAUUCAAAAAUAUAUACAUAUUAUAAAUAAUCAAUGUUUUGAUUGUUAAACCUAACCACAACAAUAAAAAAAACACUCUAUUCUACUUACUAUAUAUACAUA
rnacentral:lncRNA from 1 species